AUUUUUGGUUCCGUCCACCACCUCCCCUCCGCUGGUUUUUCCGUCGCGACAGAACCAAUCCCUCGCUAGCCCUACCUCGUCUCCCGUCUCCAGUCGCAGCCGCCGCCGCACCCCAAUCCAACCCCGCCGCCGGCGAUCUCCUCGCCCCCCUGCGCCGCCGCCCCCAACCUUCUAUUCCUCUCCCAAGGGAAUCCCAAGGGAAGGGAAGGGAAGGCAAGGGAAGGGAAGGGAGAGGGAGCGCCCAGAUCCACGGCGGCAUCAGCGCUCCGUCGUCACCUGAUCCGCGUCCGUCCUCGAGGGAGGUCGGCCAUGGAGGUCCGACCCAGCCCGGCAGCAGCCAUGGACGGACGGAGAUGCCCCAAACCCUACCCUCAAGGACGACGCCUCAACCUUCAAGGACGCGCGCCGGCGACCGCGGAUCUCCUGUGACGGCUAUGGAUGACUGCCCCGGAUCUGGACGCACAACCUGCAGCUGCAGCAGCAGCUGGACGACCGCUUAUGUCCUGGAUUUCAUCUUUUCUCCUUUCUCUGAUUUACUCAUACACAACUCCUGACUUGCUGCAUGUGGCUGCUGAAUCUUCCUACUGCAGGUGUGCCUUACACAUGUUCGUUGAGUUGCUUAAUGACAUAAUUUUUUUUUGAAACCUGGAGUUAUGCAACUGCAGCAACAAGGACGGAUGGCCAUCUUCACAGGUUUUGCAAGUAAUUGAAGCGCUUUUUGAGUAGAGGAUAAUUAGAGAUAUAAAGUUCUACCUCAGAUCUUGGGGAAUUAAUCCAUCUCGCUGUACUACCAACUCCGUCGGCCGCUCCUGCUCCAUACGCACAAUCUCGUCGAUGUACCAGAUUUCUUUAAGACCCACUGAAUAUUAGACGGACGUGCUCUACCUUGGCCUCAAGGGUGUUCAUCUACUUGUUGCCGUGCUCUGGAAUCUGGACGAUGCACUAAUGCAGUGAGCACAAGCCUGCAACCUUGAAGGAAAAUCCAUUGCCGCUGAUGACAUGAUACUAUGGGUGAGAUUUUUCAUGUUUACUUUGUUAUGUUAGUAUGUUGCCUCGAAAGGUACAACUGAUUUAGUAGAUGUACUGCACUCCUUACAGUCGAGUGUGAGUAGUUCUGCUUGAAGAGGCCAUGGUGAUUUUGGUUCAUUUAUUGUAAAAUCUUGUGAUGGCUUGACACAACAGAGUGAAACCACAUGAAUUCCGUUACACUAAAUUCUUAUCAUUUGCUCGCCUUAUUUGACAAGGUGACAGGCAUAUCUUUAAAGUUGGUCAGGCAUCUUGGCAGCCGCCACUAGAGCAACACAUCCCUGAGCGAGCAGAUGAUGCAUAGGGGCACCUAUGGAAGAAGAGGUCGGGGAUGGUAGACAAGGGCGUGGACGCCGGUGCGGGCUCCUUAAAGCCUUCGAGGAGGAUGUCGCGGUCGGGCCCGGGGGUGGCUGCACUAGAGACACCAUGGUCAUUGCAUUCUAACUGUAUCAGCAUGAGCAGAGAAGACCAAGACCAAGUGAAGGUCACAUGGACGUGUGAAUCAGUGGGCAAGCCUCAUUUUUCUUCUAUACAUUAGAGCAGCCCAAGAUACUUGGCAUCCGUGAGACCCAUAUAUCAGCUAGGUAAGUACAAAGCUACCAAUUUUCAUGUACCUAUGUGAGUUUUGUGAUGUUUCCCUAAUAGAACAGAAGCAUCCUACUUAUCAGUCUAAGUAAGUUUGUGAGUUGAUCCACUGCUGAAAACAAUUCAGUUGAACAUGUUUGUUCCAACAGUUUUGAAUGUACAUGAAUGUACAUAUGCAGUUUGAUUCCAUGUGAAGCCAUGGACAAAUAGCACAUGUAUCACAUGGGCGGCCCAGAGGUACCAUCUGUGUUGCGGUGCUGGUGCAGCGUCACACCAUGAUGGUGCCUAAGGCUGAGCCAAUGCAAGCAAACACAAAAUAGUGAAGUGGAACUAAAAUAGGUAUUUGGGGGAACAUCAGUUGUAAGUUAUUCUCCAUGUCCACUCUUCUUCCUUUUAGCUACUUUAUCCCCUCCCUUGAAAUUUUAUGGUCUGCUGGGUGCAAUUCUCCUUAUAAUACCGAGACUCAUACAAUAUAUAUUUGUUGGUGAAUUCUGCUGUUCUGGAGGUCCGCGGAUGUGUUUAUUCAAAGCUUUGAAGAGAAAUUUUGAUCAUUGUUGUUCAUCGGUGUCCAAUUAGGUUUAGUUUUAGAAAUCUCGAAUAUGUAUUUAUAAAAUAUUCAGAUGGAACAACUCAGAUUAAACUAUCUAAAAAUUCUGGGCCCCCUCUAUAAUAGUUGCAUGAAUAGAAGUGAGGAGACUGAGUGUUAGUAGGUCAUAAGUACCUUACUAUAUCCCCCUUCAUUACUGCUUUGUUUUGGUUGAACACCUCGCAACCGUCGCUCCUCCAAGUCUGAACUCCACCGCCGUGGCUCGUAUGACACAUCGGUGAUAAUGUGUUUGGUUGUAAUUGUACACCACACACGUAAUCAUGAGUAUGUCCCUGUGGCACCAGAGUUCCAAUUUUGUUGUAGAUUUAUCUUUUUCACGAAUCCGUUGUACAAAUGUUCAUUGGUUGGAGGAACAGGAGUGUAUUCCUGGUUUAAAAAAUUGAUAAUGUCGAUUGAUGUGCAUGAUGAUCCUCCAUGUAUAAUAUGUAUGCCCCGGUUCCGGUAUUUUUCUUUAGUUAACUGUUGGUCAGUUCGCCAAGAAGCUUUGUAUUCCUGUUAACUAUUCCUUUGGGCGACACUAGCUUUUCUUUUGUUUCUCCAACCUAUUUCAUAAUGUAAACAAUUUUCACACUAACUCUUAAAAUUUUGGAUGACUGCGUUUCAGAUCUUCAGCCUCAAUUGGUUGGCCCAUUUAUGCUUUGCAAGAUUUAUUUAUGCCGUUUCCUCCCAAGAGUAAUAAUUUCGGUUUCAGAUGUGCUAAAAUUCUCAUCGUCACAAACCUUUCAAGGUAUCCAAUAUUACACUCAUUUUGUUUCAGCAUAAUCCUAUAUAUACUCUGCUAUUUUUAUGUUAAACAUAUAUGCUUGCUCUCCUCGGAAGUUAAUUGCUCUAGACAAGCAGCAAUAGACAUUUUUUAAUGUCCUACUUACGUGCAAAUUUUCGUCAAGAGAAAACAUUCAUAAUGCACAAUAAUUUAAAAUAAAUUUUUCAUUGUGAGAAAAGGUAAAAUAAAAUCAGUGCUGUUUUCUCACAGUAAGUUAGUUGGAGAUGAAUUGGGAUGACUCGGGCAUUACAACGAACAGUUUGUAAAUGAUGUACCGGCCAGCUGACUUAUGUAUCUUGCAGUGUCGGCGUCAUACUUCUGUACAUAGAAGGAUGGAUUCAGUAACAAUCACUUGAAUAGUUCUACUAAUUUGGGUUUCCUGUAUACGUACCUUGACCCUUUGUUCCUCUACACCAGCAAUGCUUGAGGAUUCACUUGAUGUAUUGAGAUCAAAUUUUGGAUGCCAAUUUGGAUACUCAGAUUACACGACCAUCUGUGCAUGCAUAGAUGAGAUGUUUUUUCAUGGAAUGUUUUGACGUAUGGUGGUUUUUCAUACACUCUUUUCAUUUUUUAUCUGGCUAGGGUGAACAAUACUAUUUAGGUGAUUGUGAAAAUGCAGGCUACAGUACUAAAUUUUCAUAAGGUUUGUGAAAAUACAAUUUUCUACACUAAGGAUGUGCCCAGCUUCCAUGGCAGAGUUAAGUUGGUUAGUACAUUAGUGGGUGUGUUAUGUAUUCGCAAGGUUAUGUCCAGUAUAAUACUUAAUUCCUUGUAACCAUAAAUGUGAGCUAGGAAGAAUAAAAUUUGUGCUCUAUUGAA